rnacentral:rRNA from 1 species
UUCAACUGGAGAGUUUGAUCCUGGCUCAGAACGAACGCUGGCGGCGUGCCUAACACAUGCAAGUCGAACGGGAUGAGGGAGCUUGCUCUUUCAUUU